AGGGCAGAUGUAUAAGCCUUGUAAAUACCAAAGUUAUCUUCUUUCAUUUUGGCUCCGCCGUCUCCGCAGUGAAAGAGAAAUCAAAGAAUACAUAACCCAAACCCCAACAAUAAACAGCCACAGAUCUAUCAUCUAUGAUAGUUUUCACAGCUAAAUCAUGCUCGAUUUCAACAUCUUCAUCAACAUAAUGAAUUCUCCUCUCAAAAAAGUGAAAUGUCUUUUUACCCAGGUCUUUCUUGGUGGUCUUUCAUCGUUGUUUCCGGUGCAUCCUUCGGUAUUCUGGCUCUUUUUGGGGAAAUCUGGAUGGUUUUUCGGAGGUGUUUUUGUUUCGAAUUUGGGAGUCUAAACUAGAUCACUAGUUUUCCACGACAAGGAAGAAGAAUAAAAGGUUGAAAGCUGUCAGAACUUUUAUUCAAAACUUAAGUUUUGAGUCAUUUAUGUCUCUUAUCCUUUCCCCGACAUCCAUAAACAACUUCGACUCCUACAGAGGAAAUGGUGAAAUAAGCAAUAGAGGUUUUUCAAUAACAUUUGUGUAUGAAGUUUAGAGGUUAGUCUUCAGAGACACAAGUAUGGUUUUCUGUUCGAUGCAUCAUCUGAUCAACUGCGGGAGGCAAACAUAAUAGUAUUUGUUGCAGCUGAAGUAAAAAAAGAUGAUACUAACUAUAUGACAUGUGUUUGUAUUUCUCAUUAUUAGCACUGCUAAUGGUUUUCAUAUUUAAGUACAAAUUAGUUUCAAUUUUUAUUUCCAUAUCUUAAAUUUCUA